UACGUAGGGUGCGAGCGUUGUCCGGAAUUAUUGGGCGUAAAGGGCUCGUAGGUGGUUUGUCGCGUCGGGAGUGAAAACUCAGGGCUUAACCCUGAGCCUGCUCCCGAUACGGGCAGACUAGAGGUAUGCAGGGGAGAACGGAAUUCCUGGUGUAGCGGUGAAAUGCGCAGAUAUCAGGAGGAACACCGGUGGCGAAGGCGGUUCUCUGGGCAUUACCUGACGCUGAGGAGCGAAAGUGUGGGGAGCGAACAGG
rnacentral:rRNA from 1 species